rnacentral:lncRNA from 1 species
CUUUUUCCACGGUUUGGAAGCUUUAUUUUUUUGCUCUUUGCAAUAAAUAUUGUUGCUGCUAAUUCUUUGAGUCCACACUGCUUUUGUGAGUUGUAGCACUCACCCGAAGGUUUGCAGCUUCACUCCUGAAGCCAGUGAGACCACGAACCCAACGAGAGGAACGAAGAAUUCCAGACGCGCUGCAUUAAGAGCUGUAACACUCACUGCGAAGGUCUGCAGCUUCACUUUUGAAGCCAGCAAGACCACGAACCCAUCAGAAGGAAGAAACUCCAAACACAUCCGAGCAGCAGAAGGAACAAACUCCGGACACGCUGCCUUUAAGAACUGUGACACUCAGAGCGAGGGUCUGCGGCAUCACAUUUGAAGUCAGUGAGACCAAGAACCCACCGAUUCCGGACGCGAGCAGGUUGCUUCAGGGUAUAGACAUUUGGCACAGUACUGCAGCAUAAACCCAUCAAGGUGUAACUGGAUAAUAGAAAAUCGGAUUUCACAACGGAAAUGCACUAAUCCAAACAUCAAACUAUUGGAAAGAAAGAUCAGUCGUCAUUCAUUCUGAGAAAUGUGAGGACAUGAAAUAAGAUCCCAGAUUUUCCCAGGAAACUCUUUCUAGCUUCCAUGGCUUACCCACAUAUGCACUUUGCAAGAUUAAGGAAACCAUGGGGGCCGAGCAUGGUGGUUCACACCUGUAAUCCCAGCACUUUGGAAGGUUGAGGCUAAAUUGAACUCCUGGGCUCAAGCGAUCUUCCCAUCUCUGCCUCCUGAGUAGCUGGGACUACAGAUACAUGCCUGG